rnacentral:rRNA from 1 species
UACGUAGGGUGCAAGCGUUAAUCGGAAUUACUGGGCGUAAAGCGUGCGCAGGCGGUUUUGUAAGUCUGUCGUGAAAUCCCCGGGCUCAACCUGGGAAUUGCGAUGGAGACUGCAAGGCUAGAAUCUGGCAGAGGGGGGUAGAAUUCCACGUGUAGCAGUGAAAUGCGUAGAGAUGUGGAGGAACACCGAUGGCGAAGGCAGCCCCCUGGGUCAAGAUUGACGCUCAUGCACGAAAGCGUGGGGAGCAACGAGG